AGAAGCACUUCUAGUUUUUCGUUCCUUGGUUUUCUUCAGUGUUUUGUUUUUCUCAAGUUUCCGAUGCUUAUUGCAAAUCCUGUGACGCAGAUGCAAGCUGAGCUGAUCUAAGUCAAGUUUCAGAAUUGUCCUGGAACCUCACUAUCUCAAUUCUUCUUUUAAGUCCUUGAGCCUUCGGGAUCAAGGUCAGGAGGGGACGAUGCCUCGGGGCAGGAAGCGGCCGGAGGAGGCGCAGGAGGCGCUGAUGCGGCCGGUCACCAAGAGGCACCGCUCCAACCCCUACCACCAGUGGAGCAGCCACCACGCCAGCCACCACAGCAGCCACCACAGCAGUCAUCACAGCGGUCACCACGCCCGCCGGCCGGCGGCCUUCUCGGAGAAACUGUGCCUGCAGUGGUUCAGAGAGUAUACCACCGCCGACGAGCCCGACCU